CCACGGGCUGGGAGGAGUUGGAUCAGCUGCCGCAUCUUGGAGUUGCUUUGCUCCUCCAAGUACCAGGGUUCCGGGAGCAAAUUCUGGGCGCCCAGCGGACGAAGACACUGAAGACUAAGAAAUGAAAACUACCCAAUUGCUAUUUUGGCACAAUUAAUGGAUCUAUAUUCAAAAAUGAGACCCUGCAAAUAGAUCUGAGUAUCUGAGGGUCUCCCACAGUCCUCUCCCCACCCAGAAAUGUUCUGCCAGGCAGUUAAGUGAACCUUACACUGAUGAGGACAGUGACCAGGAGUACAGUGGUCAGAGAGGGAGAGUGGAAGAACAUAUCCUCAGAGAGGCCAUAUUUCUGUCCUGCUGGGGGAGGCUGGAGGAUAUGGCCAGAGUGGGGCCAGGAAACUCCCCCACAGGACCACGGGCAGGGUGAAAAGAUCCUCACCUUUCCAGGUCCACAAGUUCUAGCCCUAACCCUGGCUCUGACCCACGUGUGGUCUGUGGUAUGCAAGGAUAGCUCAAAUGACCCUGAAGUCACACGGUGGUCUGUGGUACAGCCUGCACAAUGUCCUACCUGCCAACUUUCUUCGUUAAAGGCAGAGGCUAUUUCAAAACUAAGAGAUGUGCAGUAAAUUGGCCUCUCGUUGAUUUUGCUUCACUUAAAGGAUAUUACAAGACAUUAAUGAGGCGGCUAAGCUCGUGUAGCGGCGGUGGUGUGGAUUGGAGCUGCAGCGAAGAGUUUGGCGCCAUGUCUCACACCAUUUUGCUGGUAUAGCCUACUAAGAGACCAGAAGGCAGAACUUACGCUGACUAUGAAUCUGUGAAUGAGUGCAUGGAAGGUGUUUGUAAAAUGUAUGAAGAACAUCUGAAGAGAAUGAAUCCCAACAGUCCCUCUAUUACAUAUGAUAUCAGUCAGUUCUUUGAUUUUAUCGAUGACCUGGCAGACCUCAGCUGUCUGGUUUACCGAGCUGAUACCCAGACAUACCAGCCUUAUAACAAAGACUGGAUUAAAGAGAAGAUCUACGUGCUCCUUCGUCGGCAGGCCCAACAGGCCGGGAAAUAAUUAAAUUGGAAACAACAGGGGGGUGGGGGUGGGCUUGGAACACAGGUGUGUACAGCGUGCUGUAGUGGAAGUUUUGUAUUAUAGUAAUCCUGUUUCCAUUUUGUUACACUCUAGCCAAGAUUGAAGAUAUUAGAUGAAAUGUGAGGCUCUUAUUCAAUCUGAAACCCCCAUUGCCCCUACCCUUUUUUUCUUUUUCUGGUUUUUUUUUGUUUGUUUUGUUUUGGUUUUGUUUUUUUACUUAAACAUUUUUAUGAUGAUUUAGAUAAAGUUGUUCUUUGUCAGCUGAUAUUGGUUCCAAUCCUUCAGACUGUUCAUACCUGCUUUAUAACAUUCACUGUACUAACCUGUCUUCAGGAUGGGGUGGGGAUGUGGUUAACAGUUAUGUCAAGAUAAAGUCUUAGUGACAAAUAAAUGUUGUUUAGUUAUAUUUUCUCCCCGAGUGAUUUUUCUUGUCUCCUAACAUUGAAUUUUCUUGCAAAGCUUUAUCAGUUUGAACCAGCAGGAUGCCACACAAAGAACGUGAAGAAAGUUUAUGUAUGUGCUGAACACAUUUUGCUGUGGUUGAUGUAAAGCUAAUAUGCUUUUUCCUCACUUUUCUAGCAUUUGAGUGAACCUUAAUUGUACCUCCUGUUUGUACCUGCUGUUGACGCAAACACUGUGAAAGGCUUUCUGGUGAUGUAGCUUGUCUGCGGCGGCAGCCAGGUUAGUUCCUUUGCUUUGUUGGAAUACUCUUUCUGGGAGGUAUGAUAUUCUUAUGCCCUUCUGAGAUUGAAUAUAGAUACGUACUAUUGAUGGAAGCUACUUGUAUAAGGGUGAGGGGAAGAGCACAAUAAAGUACAAGAUAAGCUUACUGUUAAUGUAGAGAAUGUGGCCAUGUUGUGGUUUCAACAUGUAUUGUACUUCCAGUCAGCAAAUACAUAACACUACCUGAUUCUGCUAUCAUCACUCCACCAGUAGCCAAUAAUAUCUUUUUGUUUACAUAAAACAAAAUUAGUAUUUAUAUGUGGUCAAUAAGUUGAAUUAGUAUUGAUAUGUGCUCAAUAUUUAUAGAACAAUUCCAUUAAAUGUCAUCACUGAAUCAAAAGAUUAUUAAAAUUAAGAUACCUAAAAAAAAAAUUAAUGAUAUGCAAAAACAGAUCAGUAGACCUUAAAUAAGAAAGAGAUUUACAAGUUUAAGGGCAAGGCUGUUGCACUACAGAAAAGUAAUAUUUGUUUUAGAAAUUACUUAACGUUUUGUAGAGAUUGCAGGAGAUGAAGCCAGUAUAUGAAUAAGGUUUCAAACCACCAGGAUAGUGUAGAGUAGGACUUGAGGGUGACAGGCAUACUUCAUCACAUCCCUAUCAGGUCAUAGAGGCCAAAUGGUCCUCUGCCAAAUUGGGGUACUUGGGACUAUGUCCCUGAGGCUGGCAAAAUGCAAUCCAUGUUGCAAGCACUCCCGCUCAUUCAGACCUGGGUAGUACUCCCAGCUCAGAUGCCCCAUAUGUAUCCAGACUCAGGAAACAGCCUCUGCACUCAAAGUGAGUGCACAUGUUGUGGUUUGCAGGGAGGCAAUAGGUCCAUACAUACACGUGCCUGGCCCUAGGAAUAGUUGGAUUCUAAUUACACAUUCAGAGUUUGUCAUUCUGAGUUUUAUACAUGUUAAUCUGGGAAAGAUAAAAUUUAGAGAUCCAAUUGAGAAAAUAAUUUUUUAAGAAAGCUAACACCAAGGAGAAUAAUACUUUUGAAAGCCAUUGAACAGUUAUAUUUUAUUAGUAUUUAUCUAUUUGGUCAUUUCUUUAUUGCAAAAACAGUUGUUGAAAUCCUACCAUAGACUAGGUGCUAUGAAUAAGACAAACCAAGAAGACUGUAGAUUGGCUGCCUAGGACUAGAAGUCAGGUGGGAACCACAGGGAGAGGAGAUAUGGGACAUCUUUUUCUUUUUUUUUUUGGUUUUUGGCCAGGGCUGGGUUUGAACCCACCACCUCCGGCAUAUGGGACCGGCACCCUACUCCUUGAGCCACAGGCGCCGCCCUGGGACAUCUUUUUCUGUGUUCAUACCCUGAGAGGCAGUGGAGAGGAAGAGAAGUUGAGGGCAACAGAAAGAAGUCCAUGCUCAGGCCAGAACUCUGGAGAGCUGGGAAAAUGGGGCCCAGGGCUCCUUCGGGAGGGUGGGAUUCUGCAGGACGGGAAGGACUAGACCAGUGGGCCCUCAAAAGCAGAGUCCACAGCAGCCAAAAGGAUCAUCCCAAUGAAUGAAAUGGGUCUGCACAAAGCAGUGGAGAGCAGGAGGGAUGAGGAAGGCUGCAAAAUGGUCCAAAGCAAGGGAUCAGAGCCAGCUGUGCCACACAGAAAUUCAAUCCCAAUUUUGCCAGACCCGGAUAUACACGUGUUCUUUCAAGACUGCAAAAUGCAGACAAGUUCUAAUUUUUCUAAAAGAAUACUGUGUAGGACAGUCAAAAUAUAUGGGGUCAAGUUAGGCGUAGGGCAUAUAAUGUGACCUCUGAACUGGUUUCCAUUCUAUUCACUGAGACACAUGGCUGUGCAUAACUACAAAAGCACUCAGCAAUGCUGGGUGAAUGAACAAGACGCAGGGCUCAGAAAGAGAUGUCCUUUCCAUCGAGAGCCUCCUAGAGAGUCCUGCUCUAAGGCCCGCAGAAACCAAAGCAAAAACUCUCAAGCACCUUCCUUCACCCUCCAGAAUGCCUGUGAUCCCAGCCACUGUCCGGGUCUCCAGUCAGCCCCUUGGAAGUAGCAGUGAUGGUUGGACAGUCUGGUAGCCAGCAAGAAAUAAGACAAGACACUGAGCCAAGGCGGAGGAGGCUUUACUGGGGAUCAGGAAGGCCUAGUGCUGGGACCACACUGGAAAGCAGGGCCUGCACACCAGGCACUGCUGACCCCAUGCCCUGAUGGGACAACACUGACCAGAAGGACAUCAGGUGGGCUUUAGUGCAGGGAAGGGUAAAGGUGGGAGGGGACACUGCUGGAGGAAAGUGGAGA